ensembl:processed_transcript A430035B10Rik RIKEN cDNA A430035B10 gene
GCGAUAAGCAAGUUACAAGGAUUCCACCCUCCAGUGCUCUCUACAACCUGGGGCUGAGGACGCUGAAGCCAAACUAAUUUUGCAAAUACACCUGCAUCCGGUGCAGAGACCUUGUUCUUCCUAUUCAUUAACCGAUCACUUAACGUUUACACGGUGACAAAAAUACAGCAGGUGCCCAGUAAUAACUGAAGGAGCAUGGCUGAAAGAUUAUCUCCAGAAGGACGGGAAUCUUAUAAAAAGACAGCCACCAAAGGAAACUAUACUACCACAGAGGAGCUGUUGGUGGUUCCUGCCUUGUGAGCUUUCCUUCUGCUGCACAAGGGAAUGUCAACAGGCUCAAUCAGAGGGUGUCAUGUGACCAGCUCACCAUGCUCCUGCCUCCGUUCCUUCUGGGCCAUAGUGGACUGCAUCCUUAAAUUAAAGGAUGCAUCCACCUCCAGGACUGAUGUUAAUGAAUGCUUUUGGAGCAGGCAAGCUAUUGAGGGAGGAAGGAGAAGACUGGAGAUAGAGAUACCUCAGCAUCCUGG